CCCAAACAUCCUGAUGCAAGUCGUUAAGUAGAGAAUUGCAAGUUAAGCCUAUAAACUUACAACAGUAUAUAUAAUAAACUCUACUUCAUAAAAUAACACAAUAAAUGAAUAAAACUAGUAUAAAAUGAAUCAAACUUUGCACGCGCCUUUACGUGGAUAACAAUGUUUCAAACAUGUCGUCUAAGUUUAAUAAGUAGAUAUUAAUUAAGAUAAUAAUCAGGUGUAAAAUCCCACAUGCUGAAAAAAAUAUAAGGAAAAAUAGAAGUGAAAGAGAAAAAAAAUGCGUGCAAGUGAACUUCAAUUUUGAUUAGUAUCCACACCAAAUAUAUUCAUCGAGUAUGAAUAGGUGGCAGGCCGCACACCACCACCGGCAAAGUGCAUUUCCAUGAUCGGACAGCCAGAGCCACCACUUCCAGGGAUGUAGGUGCAACCUGAUGGUCCAGAAGGAGGGACACGUUUCUUUUGAUCGCUAAAUAAUCGACUAUUAGCCGGUCGGACACAUAUAAGAAUGACUACUACUAGCACAAUCCAAUUGAGAUGUCUCAUUUUGUACAACAAAAGAGAUUGAUAAGCAAUAAUGGGGAGUUUCAUUUAGAGGAACUGGGUAUUUAUAUGGAGGGUCAUGAGAAUUUUCCUCUUUACCUUAUUAGUUGUAAG
rnacentral:lncRNA from 1 species